GAUGAACGCUGGCGGCGUGCCUAAUACAUGCAAGUCGAGCGAACAGACGAGGAGCUUGCUCCUCUGAUGUUAGCGGCGGACGGGUGAGUAACACGUGGAUAACCUACCUAUAAGACUGGGAUAACUUCGGGAAACCGGAGCUAAUACCGGAUAACAUGUUGAACCGCAUGGUUCAACAGUGAAAGACGGUUUUGCUGUCACUUAUAGAUGGAUCCGCGCCGCAUUAGCUAGUUGGUAAGGUAACGGCUUACCAAGGCAACGAUGCGUAGCCGACCUGAGAGGGUGAUCGCCAACACGGGAACUGACACACGGCCCAGACUCCGAGGGGAGGAAGCAGUAGGGAUUCUUCAAAAAGGGGCAAACGCCGGAAGGAGAACCGCCGCGUGAGGAAAAAAGGUCUUCGGAUCGAAAACCUGUGUUAUAGGGAAAAAAAAAAUGUGAAAGAAAAUAUGCACGUCUGGACGGUACAUAAUAAAAAAGCCAGGAAAAACUACGUG
rnacentral:rRNA from 1 species